GGCUGAAGCAAAACUCUGCAGGGCUGUGGCUCUCCAGGACCGACGUUCGCCACCCCUGGUAUAGUAUGUUCAAAACCUGUAUGACUUUCAUCUGUGGAACAUAAAAAAAAAAAAAAAAAUAUAUAUAUAAAUCAUUGUAUGGACAAAAACAUUGUUAAAAAAAAUCUUGAAAAGUAUCACGAUUUAACAACUUAAGUUUAUAGUUUCUUGCUUGACACAAGAAGGCACCAGAUAGCAAGUUACAACUGCCAGUUUUGCUCAAAGCUGCACUUCUCAGCAAAUGUCAAUGUCAAACAUUAUAAGAGGAGGAACAUACCAAUAUAGCCGCUGAGUCAACUGACCUGCCAUAAAUGACUUCAGUCAAGCUCUGGCACGUAGAACAACAACAUGGAUCAGGAACUGCAUAGUAGUAUCGCUGAGCCACAGCACUGGCUCGUGGGGACGCCGGUGGGUGACAGGACAUAAUCCAAUCUGCUCUUGCUGAGUCAGUGCCUGGGAGAACUGCACCUUCGUGCCUCAAGAAAGAUCAGCUUACUUUUUCCUGCAUUCACAAUUCAUCAGUUCUACACUGAUAGCAUGAGGCUAAUCUCUACAGAGCUUUAAGGCAUUAGUGAGUGUGUAUCUCAUUCACCCUACAGGGAUCUGUAUUUGAGCACACAAUGGGAUUUACAGAUGUCAAAUAACAUGGAAGGCUAAAAACCAUAUGUAACUGCUUUGGGUACAAAUAAAUAAAUAAUAAUAGUAAUAAAUUGUUUUUGUUUGUUUUAUAAUUGUUACACUGUUUGUUACUGGAAAUUCUAUAAUAUGAUAGUCUGUUAAUAAGCAGCUGUGACAACUUACCCCACUGUAACAGCAUGCUAUUGGGGAAUGGUGUUGUCACACCCCGUGGACUGUUGAUUGUGGUUUCUCCCUCUUUGUCCAUAUUUGGUUUCUCCUGUUCUCGUUACUGUUGAUUGUGUUCUAGUUUGUUGGUUAUUGUGAAUGUCACCUUGCGUGCGUCUGUCUGGAUAGUACUUCUAUGUGGAUUAUUAAAGCUAUCUAUAAAUAUAUAUAUAAAGAUAUUAUUGUUAUCUUCUUCGUCAUUCUGCCUGAUCAUACGCCACACCAUCCUGUGACAGAAUAACCGACCCAAACAUAAACUAUUUAAGUGGCAUCUUCCCCUCGUUUUGUUUUCCGGUUUUGUCAGUUUUUGGUUUUUGUAAUGGAUGAGCCUGCCAUCCUUGUCCUCCUGCUGGAGCAGGGGGAAUCACUCUCUUGAGGACCACACCUAAAGACUUUGUUCCUUGUUAACCUCACACACUACCCGGACAACUGCCUCUGCUCAUUCUAUCAAGCUGGACUUAACGCCAUCACACAACCACAGUUGUCCGGGGAUAGUCCUCGACAGAGCAUCACUUCCUUCAUCGAGUGGGUGCUGUUGUCCUGCAAGUCACAUCUGACCAUGGACCCCACGGAUCACAACACCAGCCCCACUCAGGACCCAGAGCCCAGUCAAGGACCCCAUGGCGGGGAGCUGCCCAAGCC
ensembl:lncRNA